ACCCGGAGAGACAGCAGAAUGAAGGUCAAGCUGAAGACUUUACCAGACAAGCUGAGAAGUGGUGCAUGGCCGUCGCCAGCUCGUGCCGUGAGAUGUCCUGUUAAGUCAGGUAACGAGCGAGAUCCCUGCCUCUAGUUGCCACCAUUACUCUCAGGAGUAGCGGGGCGAAUUAGCGGGACCGCCGCAGUUAAUGCGGAGGAAGGAAGGGGCCACGGCAGGUCAGUAUGCCCUGAAACUUUGGGGCCACACGCGGGCUGCAAUGAUAGUGACAGUGAGUUCCUAAACCGAAAGGUGGAGGCAAUCUUCAAACGCUAUCACAGUUAUGAUUGAGGGCUGCAACUCGCCCUCAUGAAUAUGGAAUCCCUAGUAACUGCGUGUCAUUACCGCGCGGUGAAUACGUCCCUGCUCCUUGCACACACCGCCCGUCGUUUCAUUGAAGUUUGCUUUUAGCGACGGUGACGUCUCAUUGGCGUUAUCGAACUUGA
rnacentral:rRNA from 1 species